UACAGAGGGGGCAAGCGUUGUUCGGAUUUACUGGGCGUAAAGCGCGUGUAGGCGGCUUGGCAAGUUGAAUGUGAAAGCCCACGGCUCAACCGUGGAGGGUCAUUGGAAACUGGGGAACUUGAGUACAGAAGAGGAAAGCGGAAUUCCACGUGUAGCGGUGAAAUGCGUAGAGAUGUGGAGGAACACCAGUGGCGAAGGCGGCUUUCUGGUCUGUAACUGACGCUGAGGCGCGAAAGCGUGGGGAGCAAACAGG
rnacentral:rRNA from 1 species